UACGGGGGGGGCAAGCGUUGUUCGGAAUUACUGGGCGUAAAGGGCUCGUAGGUGGCCAACUAAGUCAGACGUGAAAUCCCCAAGCUCAACUUGGGAACUGCGUCUGAUACUGGAUGGCUUGAAUUCGGGAGAGGGAUGCAGAAUUCCAGGUGUAGCGGUGAAAUGCGUAGAUAUCUGGAGGAAUACCGGUGGCGAAGGCGGCAUCCUGGACCGAGAUUGACACUGAUGAGCGAAAGCUAGGGGAGCAAACGGG
rnacentral:rRNA from 1 species